rnacentral:rRNA from 1 species
AGGAUAAACGCUGGCGGCGUGCAUGAGACAUGCAAGUCGAACGGACGAUCAGGGCUUGCUCUGAUCGUUAGUGGCGGACGGCUGAGUAACGCGUAGGUGACCUGCCCCGAAGUGGGGAAUAACUGCCCGAAAGGGUGGCUAAUACCGCAUGUGGUGGUGUGUUCAUUCACACCAGUAAAGCCGCAAGGCGCUUCGGGAGGGGCCUGCGUCCGAUUAGCUCGUUGGUGGGGUAACGGCUCACCAAGGCGACGAUCGGUAGGUGGUCUGAGAGGACGAUCACCCAGACUGGGGACUGAGACACGGCCCAGACUCCUACGGGAGGCAGCAGUCGGGAAUUUUGCGCAAUGGACGAAAGUCUGACGCAGCAACGCCGCGUGAGGGAUGAAGGCCUUCGGGUUGUAACCUCUUUUAUCAGGGAAGAUAAUGACGGUACCUGAUGAAUAAGUCACGGCUAACUACGUGCCAGCAGCCGCGGU